CCCUAUACACAUGUUGUCAGACCCUUAUACACAUGUUGUCAGACCCUUAUACACAUGUUGUCAGACCCCUAUACACAUGUUGUCAGACCCCUAUACACAUGUUGUCAGACCCCUAUACACAUGUUGUCAGACCCUUAUACACAUGUUGUCAGACCCUUAUACACAUGUUGUCAGACCCUUAUACACAUGUUGUCAGACCCCUAUACACAUGUUGUCAGACCCCUAUACACAUGUUGUCAGACCCCUAUACACAUGUUGUCAGACCCCUAUACACAUGUUGUCACACCCUUAUACACAUGUUGUCAGACCCUUAUACACAUGUUGUCAGACCCUUAUACACAUGUUGUCAGACCCUUAUACACAUGUUGUCAGACCCCUAUACACAUGUUGUCAGACCCCUAUACACAUGUUGUCAGACCCCUAUACACAUGUUGUCAGACCCUUAUACACAUGUUGUCAGACCCUUAUACACAUGUUGUCAGACCCCUAUACACAUGUUGUCAGACCCUUAUACACAUGUUGUCAGACCCCUAUACACAUGUUGUCAGACCCUUAUACACAUGUUGUCAGACCCCUAUACACACGUUGUCAGACCCCUAUACUAU
rnacentral:lncRNA from 1 species